AUUUCCACAGAUUCCCCGCAUUACUAUACACUCUCAAAAAACACUUCCCGCCAUUCCUCUCUAUGAAAUGGGUAUUAUAUUUCCAAAUGCUAAAAAAGCUCACAAAUUAGGGGUUUAACACCAAUUGUAGCUGAAACCCAUUUCUCAAAAUUGCUGACAUUCUUGAAAACCCAAUAGAAUACUCUACAUAAAAAUGGGUAUACAAGGACUUUUACCCCUCUUGAAAUCGAUAAUGUUACCCAUUAACAUCAAGGACUUAAAGGGGUGCAAUGUUGCUGUUGAUACAUAUUCUUGGUUGCAUAAGGGUGCACUUUCUUGUAGCAAAGAGCUUUGUAAAGGCAUUCCUACUACCAAGCAUAUUGAUUAUUGCAUGCACAGAGUAAAUUUAUUGCGCCAUCAUGGUGUCAAACCUAUUCUUGUGUUUGACGGAGGUCCCUUACCAAUGAAGAUUGAACAGGAGAACAAGCGGGGAAGGUCUAGGAAGGAAAAUCUUUCUCGUGCAAUAGAGCAUGAAACUAAUGGAAACAUGACUGCUGCUUAUGAGUGCUAUCAGAAGGCUGUUGAUAUAUCACCUUCAAUGGCUCGCGAUCUAAUACAGGUCCUAAAGCUGGAAAAUGUAUGUUACGUAGUGGCUCCUUAUGAAGCAGAUGCCCAAAUGACCUUUCUGGCCAUCAGCAAACAGGUUGAUGCUGUUAUAACUGAAGACUCGGAUUUAAUAGCAUUUGGUUGUCCCAGGAUCAUUUACAAAAUGGAUAAGUUUGGGCAAGGUGUUGAGUUUCGGUAUUCCAAGCUGGACCAAAAUAAGGAACUGAAUUUAACAGGUUUCACAAAGCAGAUGCUUCUUGAGAUGUGCAUCUUGAGCGGUUGUGACUAUUUGCAGUCCUUGCCUGGAAUGGGCCUCAAAAAAGCUCAUGCACUUAUAAAAAAGUUCAAGAGUUUUGACAAAGUCAUUAAGCACUUGAGGUAUAAUACUGCUGCAGUUUCUCCGCUGUAUGAAGAAUCUUUCAAAAAAGCAAUUAUGACUUUCCAGCAUCAACGAGUUUAUGAUCUCAUUACCGAAGAUCUAGUUCAUUUGUCCGAGCUCUCUGACCAUGGUAGUCAAGAUCUAGAUUUCCUAGGCCCGCUGAUACCCACCGAAGUAGCUCAAGGAAUAGCAAAAGGUGAUAUUGAUCCUUUCACCAUGAAUCCCUUUCAGAAAGAAGGCAACGCUGCUGACCUGGUUCAUAGCAGAACUUAUGAACUGAAUGACUUCAAAGUGGAAGGUGAAAGGAGGAAGCUUGAUUUGCCCGCACAGAAAAAUCUCCUGACCAACUACUUCUGCGCUGCUUCUCUUGAAGCUAAACAGAAAUUUAGGGCACCAAGAACUAGCCCUAUUGUUCCAAAUUCAAAGGUUGGAGUUUCAAGCCCUUGGGCAGGCAGUAGAGCUGAUUCUUAUAAAUUCGAGAGCUUGUCAAUGUCCUCGCCUGAUCCUCUGGGUGUAUCUUCUGCUCGGGUGGAUGAUGAUAUUCUCUUGAAAGCUUCCAUGUAUUUGGAGUCAAAAAGUCAAGGACUACCACAAGAGGAAGAAAUUGCAAACGGCCUAGGACUACAAACUGUUCCACUGCAGCAUCCAAUAUGUAAACCCUGCAUCACACUGAGUAAUGAGUGUGCUCUGGAUUUAAGUGAGAGCAAGACACGAGCUGCCAAAAACAAAGUGAUAGUGAGGAGCAGCUAUUUUCUUAAGAAUAACAAAAAGGAAGAUUUUCAGGAUGAUAAGAGAGAGAGAAAUGAGGCUGCCAAUGAUAAAUCUCGUAGCAGCAUGCGGGAGAAUGAUUUUGAUUCUAUGGCAGAUGCAAGGAAUGGAGCAGUUUUAGCAGCAGUUAAAAAUGCUGUUCCACGGAGUUCUUAUUUUCAGCAUAAGCCAUCAGCAGAAAGUGUUCCGGCAGGUGAUACUGAAGAGAAAGAGAAAGAGAAAAAAAGAGUAAUAGUAAGGAGUUCUUACUUUCAGAAGAACUUGGCAAAUGAAAAUUCUCACGGCAACUCGGAUGUUGCUGUUGAGCUGGAACAUACCUAUCCCAGGGAUUCUUCAGGAAAUGAUUGCUCUGAAAGGGGAUUAAAGAAAAGGAAGGUUACCUUCAUUGACACUGUUCAAACUGAAAAUGCAAGUGCUGAUUGUUUAGAGGCUGACACAUCUGGCUAUCAAGGCGACUUCAACUCUAACCUAGAUGAUUCAACUAAGGAGACAAAGGACGGACAAGGGAAAUUCGGUUCCAACAUCUCUCAUUUAGGAGAUUAUUCUCAAAUAUCAGAGAAAUCAAUGGAAAAUUUUGUUUCAGUCAUAUCAUCAUUUAGAUACACCUCAAAUGGUUCUCGAGCCAGUGGACUACGAGCCCCUUUAAAAGAUAUUAAGAAUACCAGCACUAAUAGGUCCUUUAUUGACAUGGAUCUAAGCAAGUUUGUCUACAAGCCAAUAAAGCAAAAGCAAUUAUCAGCACGUCGUAAGGUCUAAAACUUGCAAAACUACACUGACCUGCUCGUCUAUAGUGAAUUUAGCAGUUGUCAGCUUGAUAACUAAAUUUCCAUUUUAUAGUUUCUUUGAUUCAGGUUCAGCACUGAACGGGAAAUCUUGUCGAGAAGCCAUUCCUUUGUUUCUUUGGCUGCCUGAAAUUUGAAGGUUCUCAUCACAUUCAUUGUAGACUAAAUUUUUGAAGGGUUCAUAAACUUCACCUUGGUUUUCUGUUUUUAUUAUUUUUUAUGAUUCUUCUCCACCUUGUAUUUUUAGUUUUCUCAAUUCCCAUAUUUGACAUGCAUUUAGGUUCCCUAUUGAUUUUUCUCAGAGGGUUAAGGCCUAUACACAGCUCAUUUCACUCACAACAAUUUUAUCUGUACAUUAGGAAUGAAAUUCUUAUCUGAAUACUUUCUGUUA